AGCGUUUACGAGGUCUUUCCCAGACCUCCCGGCAGUUUAUGAAGCACCCGGGCGCUAAAGGGUGACUUUGUCAGCCGAACACCCCUGGAAUCAGAGGUGUGCAGCUGAUGCAGCUAAAGAUCUCCGUGAUGCCCCACCACACCCCGUGUGUUCCUGAGCUGACUCCCAGCCAAACCUCAGCAUCACAGCCACCUAUGCCAGGUGCUCCCUGAGGUGACCCUCCGGCUAUCAAGCCCUGGAGGAGAGGUUACACCACAAGUUUUCCCUGGCUUGAAGAGGAUAAAAGCCCCAUUGGUGACAGCAACCUAAACAGAUUCAAACUAUUGCGCCUGAGUGAGUGUGGUAGUGAGCUGCCCUUACUUUCAUCUGCUGCUGUUGGACAGGUGAAUUCACACUACAGCAGAGCACUUGCAGAUUACUAUAUUUCUUCUGUGAAAAUUUGCCUAUCAGUGUAAGUGGCAUCUGGAGAUGGGAAAGCAGAGCUUCAGGUUAAAGUUUUGAGAGGAUAAGGAUUACCCCCAGGACUGAACCCUGCUUUUGAGCUGAUGGAUGCACUGCAGGCUCUGCUCCCUUUGCACCCUCAGCUUCCCCCAAAAGAGGAGGAGAUGUGUGAGAGCCAGAAAACCAACCACUGGCAGCCCUGUCUUGUGUGAGAUAUUUCAUUUACAAAGGAAAUUGGGCAGGAGGCUGGCUGAAAGUGUACCAGAGCUCUACAGGGACUUCUUGUGCCAUUUCAAGGAAGGAUUUGCUGUGUUCCACAAUGUGUAAAUAUUGUUUGGGCCUUGUUUUGUUUUGUUUUUUAUCUCAAAUGCUUGCCAAGGAGAUUGAACUCUACAAACAUAAUUAGCCAGGGGCUGAACAUUUAAUCUUAAAUUCUGAGUCUUCAUCAAGUCUUAAUUUAUAAACCUUAGGAGGGAAGCUUGCAACCAUUCCUGUUCAUAAGGAUGGAUGGAAUUUGUGGCAGGUUUUUAUGGCAGAAGAGGGAAGCCACCACUCAAAUGGGGAAAACUCAGAAAACUGUGCUGAAGCCAGUAAGUGGUUGUGUCAUGGAUAAUGGGGCAAGAGCUAGAUGCAAAUCACCUCUUGUGUGGUCCAAGCAGACUGUAGUGGAUGGGGAUUUGGGCAGCCUGAUCUGGUGGAAGGUGUCUGUGUUUGUGGGGUUGGGAUCAGAUGGGCUUUCAGGUCCCUUCCACCCCAAAGGCUUUCAGGUCCCUUCCGCCCCAAACCAUUCUGUGGCUAGGAAUUUAAGAAGGUGGUGUGGGAGAACUGGAAGGCUUGUGGUUUGCAAAAAUGAGAGCUUUCCCUUCGUAUGAGGGUUAUGCCAAAUCAGGAAUGGGUGUUUGGGGGUAGGGUUGUGGGUUUUUUUUUUUACAUGGGUGAUCUUCCAAUGGCAUUGUUAUUUUGAACAAUGAAAAAGGGACAGUUUCUGAAUUUCAAUCAGUUUUAGUCUAUCAAGAUAAAAUAAACUGCUAGCACCUUUUAUCUCAGUUUACUGUGAAAAAAUUCUACACUAGGCAUAGUAGGGGGUAAAAAAAUGAAGGGAGAAAAAUUAAAUAAAACAAAACCUUUUAUUCCCUUCUGCAAGAACUUUUAUGAGCUGGGAAGUCAUGGAGAAAUGUGAAGGUGUUGUGAUUUCUCCUACACCUUUCUUUGCCCUUUUUCAGUGAUAAGAGCUGUCAAAUGACAUCUUUGUGAGGAACAUGCCAGACCCUCUACACAUCAAAUAAAGUACAAAAAGCAAGAGCAUUAA